rnacentral:misc_RNA from 1 species
CCAACCACCGUGCACCUUUUGUAGGUUGGGCCUUCGGGCUCUUCCUAUGUAUCACACAAACCAAUCGUAUGUCUAUUGAAUGUAAACCUGAAGCGUGGAAACACGUUUUAAAAAGCUUUAAACAACUUUCAACAACGGAUCUCUUGGCUCUCGCAUCGAUGAAGAACGCAGCGAAAUGCGAUAACUAAUGUGAAUUGCAGAAUUCAGUGAAUCAUCGA